ACACUCCUACGGGAGGCAGCAGUGAGGAAUAUUGGACAAUGGGUGGAAGCCUGAUCCAGCCAUCCCGCGUGCAGGAAGACGGCCCUAUGGGUUGUAAACUGCUUUUAUCUGGGGAUAAACCUACUUACGUGUAAGUAGCUGAAGGUACCAGAAGAAUAAGCACCGGCUAACUCCGUGCCAGCAGCCGCGGUAAUACGGAGGGUGCAAGCGUUAUCCGGAUUUAUUGGGUUUAAAGGGUCCGUAGGCGGACUGAUAAGUCAGUGGUGAAAUCCGACAGCGUAACUGUCGAACUGCCAUUGAUACUGUUAGUCUUGAGUAAGGUUGAAGUUGCUGGAAUAAGUAGUGUAGCGGUGAAAUGCAUAGAUAUUACUUAGAACACCAAUUGCGAAGGCAGGUCACUAAGUCUUAACUGACGCUGAUGGACGAAAGCGUGGGGAGCGAACAGGAUUAGAAACCCCGGUAGUCCCAU
rnacentral:rRNA from 1 species